GGUCAGCCGUGGGACGUCUUGGGCAGGGGGUACUGGCCUACUUCGGUUUAUGUGCACUAACUGUUUCUUCGCUGGUUGGUAACAAUUUUUUCACUCAGGGAAUCUACCUAUUCUUUGGUCAGUGUUACCUUUUGCUGAUAUGAUUGAAGCUUUUCCUGCUCUAUUAUGUUUGUCAUAUAGGUGCUUAAUAAUUUUUCUGCUUUUAGGCCACAGCUGAAGUUAGCUGUGCUCUUCUUCUUUUACAGAAAUUACUUAAUAAAAUAGAUGGCAAGACCCAAGCAGUAAGGAAGGUCUCUUUACAGGGUUGCUUUGGAGCCUGCUUCUAAUGCUUCAAAGGUGUGGUGCUGUGACAUGGCAAGUGAGGUAUGUUCUACUGUCACUGCAACAAGUCAUGUAGAGUGACCUAUGCUCUAAUCUCCCUUCCAGCAGUGCAGACCAAAUGAAGUGGCCCAUGCUGUUAUGUUACAUGUUACUACAAAUUAGAUUAGAAUCUGCUGCUCCUGGAUUUGUUUAAUUAGCUGGCAGUAUCAUUAACAUACUCUGGAGCCUUUGCACUGUAGUGCGAAACAUGAAGCACUUUUAAGACUUAAACCUCGCUAAAUGAAGGGAAGCAAUCAAAGAUACACAUGUCAAGGGGAGGAGUUGAAGAGGUUUGUAUUUGGAUUAUUCCACAUCAUAAAACUCAACAAAACUGUUAGGCUAAGUGGGUACAAGCAACCCUUUCACCCCCUCAAUUGAUACAGAAGACUUUUCUCACUUUGCAUGAAUGUUUCUACAGACUGCAUUUUCCUCUUAACCAUUUUUUUUGGCUUCUGACUAAAAAAUAUGUAAAGAGAUGUUCCAGUUUAAGUACUUUGAAUUACUAUCAAGCUGCCAGAUGCCUUACCUAAAAAUAGUGGUAGGGGAAAAAAACCUUACAUGAUUGCUUUCCUUUUCUAAAACACACAGUUAUGGUGGCAAGUUUUGACAUUGUUCAACUCGGGUCAUCAAAUUCAUAUAAGCUAUUGUACUACAGUGUAAGGCAUAUAUUUUAGAAGACUGAAAAGUACAGGAAGUUUGAUGUGUGAACAUAAAUUUACUCAUCUUUUAUAUAA